CAGUGGAACUUUGGUUGAAUAAUGCCUUUUUUAAUACCAGAGUGUAAAAACUUGAAGUGUUAAAUUGGGAUCACAUUAUUUUAUUGAAGUGGGGUUCUAGUUAAUUUACUUUGAGUAAAUUAGAGUGUUCAAAGCAGCCUCUUGGGGCUUUGAAUAGAUUUAGCAUGGGAUAAUAGAAUAGGAUUUGAUAAUCUAUUUGUUGGUUUGAAUUAAUCAAAUAAUGAUUAAUAGGGACAGUUGGGGGCAUUCAUAUUAAGUGGUUAGCGGUGAAAUGUGUGGACCCACUUAAGAUGAACUAAAGCGAAAGCAUUUGCCAAGGAUGUUUUCAUUAAUCAAGAACGAAAGUUAAGGGAUCGAAGACGAUUAGAUACCGUCGUAGUCUUGACUGUAAACUAUGCCGACCAGGGAUAUGAGUAGUAUAUUUCACUAGUUUUCGGAUUAGUGAUACUUCUCCUUAUGCACCUUGUGAGAAAUCAUAAGUUUUUGGGUUCUGGGGGAAGUAUGGUCGCAAGGC
rnacentral:rRNA from 1 species